rnacentral:lncRNA from 1 species
UCAUCACCACCACCACAAAUCACCAUCAUAUCACCCUCACUUUCAUCAUUACCACAAUCACCAUCAAUAUCACCAUCCCCUUCACCAUCACUACCAACACAGCCACCAUCAUCAAUAUCACCCUCAACUUUAUUAUCACCUCCACCAUCAGCAGCAGCAUCAACUUCAUCAUCACCAUCACCACCUCUGCCAUCAGCAGCAUCAUUAUUAUCUUCAUCAUCAUGGUUUCAGCCACAAUCGGAAUCAACAGCCGUCACCCAGAGUUGAAGGAGGUGUCACCCACUCAGAGAACACCCCUGACCUUCCCAAGGAAGCCCUCUGCACUCCGACGCCAUAUACCCGUGAUCUGCACAGGACUGUCACCAUCUGGAAUUGAUUGCCUCUCUUCCCGUUUUGCUAUUGUCAUUUGCACCCACAGGAAUGUCACCCACAUGAGUGUGGAAUUUCAUCUGUCUGUUCGCUGCUGGAUCCCUGCUCUAAGUAAGAAAAGGACCUGUGGCAGAGUGAGCUCUGGAUGAGGAUUUGCUGAGGAAUUGAAUGAGGGAAAGACUCAGAGAAUGGAAUGCUGAGAAUUCUACAAUAAAUAUUUGAAUCCUAGAGUGUUGGAGUCAGGAGAAGCCCUCGGAAGCCAUCUAGACAAACCCAUUCAUUUGCAAAGGGGUAAACUGAGGCUGAGGAGAAAAAAGUGACUUGCUCCACAUCCCAAGGCCUGAGGGUCUUCUCCCUGCUCUGAUGGGAGAGGGACCCCCUUUGUGCUGUUGUGGGUAAAAUGGUGAUGUGUGGCUGGAGGGUGAAGGGGCUUCUUCUGCCCUUUGACUCAUUGCCUAGGAAAAUAGGGACAAAAGGCGCAAAUUUUUUCAAAAUGCAAACAACUAAAGACAACGUCAUUCAGUAGAGACAAAGUGGGUGUUUGGGUUGACAGAGAAACAGAAAAGCUUCCCUGAGGUUGAGGAGGGAAGAGGGGGCUUGAAGGUGGGUGAGCCCCAAAUGUGACCUUCAACUCCUGGGAAGCUGUAGGCAAGGACAUAGCCAAGGCAAAACCAUCAAGAAUGUAAUUCACCAACAGAAACAUUCACUGACCACCCUCGGGGCCUGAAGGUCUUUCCAAAGCCUUGCUGCUGAGCACAUGAUGAACUUCAAACAAUAGCGAAGUCAGGAGCCAGGCGCUGAUGACCCCCAGGAGGAAGCUUGCAGAGGAUGAUGGGACAGAGGGGGAUGGGCAGGAGUCUAAGCAGGCGCUCAGGGAGGCCGCUUUCGUCAAGGAUGCUGAAAGAAUGGGGGUCUCAUGGAUUCUGGGAGAGAUGGUCCAAGGCAGAGGGACAGCCAGUGUGGGCCUGGAAAGAUGUGUGCCGCAUGUCUGAGGGGCAGGGGCCAAUGUGGCUGGAGGUAGAUGGGAGAGGAGGACACUAGGGGCUGAGGUCAGAGGGGACACAACUGGAUCUGUGCGAGACCUUGCAUGCCACUGAAAGGGCGCUGGCUGUCACUGUCGUGACCAGAGCCUCUGGGCAGGUCUUCACAGAGGUCAGGCUGACUGCACUUGCGGAUGGAUUGAAUAGCAGUAGUUAGAGGACAGCAUGCAUGGCUCAGGGAGGAUUCCCAGGAUUUGGGAUGCACAGCUGGAAGAAGGGAGGAGCUCCUGAAUGAGGAGUGGGAGGUCCGGGAAGGGCAGCCUUGGUGGGGAGAGACGCCGGGACCUGCAGAGAAACUCCCUGAAAAGAACAGGGCUGAGCCAUCUUUACCCCAGGCUCAGGACCUUCCUUCGCUGUAACUGCCAGGACAAUCCACUGUGCUGUCACUCAGAGAGCGAAACCAGCCUGACUUUGCACCUGUGUCUCCAAGGGAUAAAGGUCAAUGUCACAGCAGACUCCACUCUGAUGCUGUCUUCAAGCCAAAACCUUAAUAUUCAAUGAGAAAUCUGCAUUGAUGAAAUUUUCA